rnacentral:rRNA from 1 species
UGAUCUUAGCGGCGGACGGGUGAGUAAUACUUAGGAAUCUGGCUAUUAGUGGGGGACAACAUUUCGAAAGGGAUGCUAAUACCGCAUACGUCCUACGGGAGAAAGCAGGGGAUCUUCGGACCUUGCGCUAAUAGAUGAGCCUAAGUCGGAUUAGCUAGUUGGUGGGGUAAAGGCCUACCAAGGCGACGAUCUGUAGCGGGUCUGAGAGGAUGAUCCGCCACACUGGGACUGAGACACGGCCCAGACUCCUACGGGAGGCAGCAGUGGGGAAUAUUGGACAAUGGGGGGAACCCUGAUCCAGCCAUGCCGCGUGUGUGAAGAAGGCCUUAUGGUUGUAAAGCACUUUAAGCGAGGAGGAGGGUACUGGUAUUAAUACUACCAGGUACUGGACGUUACUCGCAGAAUAAGCACCGGCUAACUCUGUGCCAGCAGCCGCGGUAAUACAGAGGGUGCGAGCGUUAAUCGGAUUUACUGGGCGUAAAGCGUGCGUAGGCGGCUAAUUGAGUCGGAUGUGAAAUCCCCGAGCUUAACUUGGGAAUUGCAUUCGAUACUGGUUAGCUAGAGUGUGGGAGAGGAUGGUAGAAUUCCAGGUGUAGCG